GUGCCAGGCACACCUAUUAUCUCAUCUAAUUCUCACAACCUUAUAAAGUGCAUUGCUUUGCAAGUGAGGACAUCAAGGUCCCAAAGAGGUGUGUUUGUUUUUUGCACAAGAGUUUGGGGCCCCCCAAGGACAUAUGGGUGCCAGGGAUGCGUGGGUGGGACUUUCUCCUGGAGGACCCCAGGGGCAUCCCUGCAAGAGAUGCGGACCAGCGCCAGGAACGCUGAGCAUCAUCCCUCCAACCAUCCCAGCCUGGGGCUCCGGUGGGCAUCACCCAGGAGACACCUUGUGGGGAGGAAGGCACCAGCGUCCCCUGGACAGUGUGAGGACUUCCCUGGUGAACCUGUGGUUAAGACUCCGUGUUUCCAAUGCAGGGGGUGUGGGUUUGAUUCCUGGUUGGGGAAGUUCCCUGUGCUGUGCAGCACAGCCACACACACAAAAAGGAAAAACAACAACAACAAAUCCCAACUGCCUCCGGCUUGUCCCACAGUGAUGUCCACUCCCAGUAAAGCCGCCAGAGCAGUCCUCAGAAGCCAUGGAUCCAGUCAUGUGGUCCCAGAGUUCGCCGCCCUGCCAGCUCUCCACGCCCCUGGAGACCCCCGAUCCAGGCCCCGCACCGGUUUCCUCUCUGGUUUCCCCACUGGUGACUCUGCUUGGCUGUUCCCCCACUGGAGAGCUUUCCAGCUGGGUGUUUCCACUUCUAGGGAUGCUUUUCCCCUAGCUCCCUCCCUCCUUCAAGUCUUUGCUCAAAGGACAGCUUCUUCUUAAUCCUGGGUUUAAACUUGUAACCUGUUCCCCCAGCUUCACUUCCAAACCCUCAUCCUGCUGUCUUAUUUUCCCCAAAGCACAUAUUACUAACGUACUCCAUGUAAAGCAUUAUUAUGUUUAUUGCUUAUCGUCCGUCUCCCCGCACGAGGGCGAAUCCUGGGGCCUGUGUUUCUCACCGAUACUUCCCGAGCGCCUUAAGGAGUGCUUAUGCUGUUAGUAGGUGGUGAAUAAAUAUCGUCGAGUGAAUCAAUCGAUACAUAUGGUCACAGGGCAAAGCCGGCCAUUUCCGAGUUUCCCAUUUUUCCAGGGGACGGAGAGAUAUCCCCUGACCACCAGGUCCAGGGCAGCUCUUCAGGGAAAAUGUUGGAAUUAAAUCCAUCGUUUAGGCUUCCCUCCCAGAGCUUAUCAGUCAGGGGCCCAGAUACACCCUCCCAGCCAGCACGGCGGUCCCGCCCGUCUUUGAACAGACCAUCCACCCAACCGCAGAGG
ensembl:lncRNA